rnacentral:misc_RNA from 1 species
UUUUCAUCUUUUUAUCCUUUUUCCUUCUGAAGGAUUUGUUGUGUCCGCUACCUCAUCCCUUGAGACUAUGGAAAUGCAUUGUGAUGGUAGUUAAAGUGCCUUGUGAAAGAAACCUGAUGUUAUUUAGAAAUGAAGAUAAUUAAUUGGGCUGUAUUUGCUUUUUGUUGUAAUAAUAAUAUUGCAAAUUUGCCUGGUAUUAAGUAUAGAAGCCAUGUCACUGAACAUUGCGUAAAACACAUUGCAGGCUGAUUCAGAUAAAGAUGGG